UGCUUUCAAGUGUUUAAUAUUGGAAAACAAUUUAUAGAUUGUAUUUGGGUUUAUAGGUUCAUGCUUAGGGUUUAGAUUUACUAAGUAAAGGUUUGGGUAUAGUAAACCAUAUUAUAUACAUUCUAUUUGGGUUUAUACUUCCUUGAUUAGGGUUUAGCUUAAUCUAUUUAUUUAGGUUUAGGGUUUAUGGUAUAUUUGGAUUAGGGUUUAUGGUAUAUUUGGAUUAGGGUUUAGUGAUUAGAAUGUAAGGUUUAGUAUUUAGAAGGUGAGGGGGUAUGGUUGGGAUGAGCAUUAACUUCUUUCAUGCAAUCAUAGAUAUUUUAUAGUUUCACCAAUAUGUACUAUGUUAUUUAUUUUGUUUCAUUCUAUUUGGGUUUUGUGUUUAUAUUUGGGUUUAUGAAGGCAUAGCCAUAUCAACAUUUGAGAAAUAUGGUAUUUUGUUCCAUUCUAUUUGGGUUUAGGGUUUAUACUUGGGUUUAGGGUUUAAUAAUUAAGAUUUAUGGUUUAUUAUUUGGAAGGUAGGGUUGAGAUUUGAGUUUAGUGAUCCUAUCAUUAUCGUUCCAUUUCUCGAUUAAUAAAGAGUGUUCUAUUUUGUUCCCCAAUAUGUAUUAUACUAUGUAUUUUGUUCCAUUCUAUUUGAGUUUAGGGUUUAGUAAUUAGGAUUUAGGGUUUAGUAUUUGAAAAAUAUAAGUUGAGGUUUGGGUUUAGUAAUUAGGAUUUAGGGUUUAGUAUUCAAAAGUUAGGUCUGUAAUUAGGAUUUAGAAGUUGUGUGUUGGGUUAGAGCCCUGCACUAUUUAAAAGUUAGGCCAGGAUUUAGUUUAAUAUUAUAAUAUUUUCAUAUUUUGAUAAUUGAGUUUAGGGCUGAUAAUUAAGGUUUAUAUUUGAGUUUAAUAUUUUAAAGUUUGGUUUGUGUUUAGUAUUUAAAAGUUGUGUAUUGGGUUAAUAUGGAAUGCAUUCUUCAUUGAAAAGUCUUAUAUUUUAUCUAUUCAUUUUAGUGUCAUUUAGUCACCUAAUUAUAGUUUAUAUUUGGAUUAUGAUUUAUGAUUCAGUAUUUAGAAGUUGAGAUAGUGUUUAAUAUUUAAGGAUUAUGGAAGUGGUUUUAGUCCUUCUAUACUACUUCGUGUGGUAUGGAAUAUAAUAUUCAGUACAUACAUAUGUGGUCAAUAAAUAUGUAACGUGGAUGUCUCUUUUUUUCUCCACUC
rnacentral:lncRNA from 1 species